CCCUACGGGAGGCAGCAGUAGGGAAUAUUGCUCAAUGGGGGAAACCCUGAAGCAGCAACGCCGCGUGGAGGAUGAAGGUUUUCGGAUUGUAAACUCCUUUUGUUAGAGAAGAUAAUGACGGUAUCUAACGAAUAAGCACCGGCUAACUCCGUGCCAGCAGCCGCGGUAAUACGGAGGGUGCAAGCGUUACUCGGAAUCACUGGGCGUAAAGAGCGCGUAGGCGGGAUAGCAAGUCAGAUGUGAAAUCCUAUGGCUUAACCAUAGAACUGCAUUUGAAACUGUAGUUCUUGAGUACUGGAGAGGCG
rnacentral:rRNA from 1 species